AUUCUAGGUGCAUUAAAUAUAUUUAUUCAUUUGUCCUUACAAUAACUCUAUGAGAGUUCUGUUUUAAUCCACAUUUUACAGAUGAGAAAGCAGAAGUACAAAGACAUCAAGCAAUGUACCAAAGGUCAUUUAACAAGAUAUGAAAGGAAGAAACAAAAGGAACACCAGAAUGGCAGAGAACAGUAGAAAAUACAUUCUUCACACCAUGAGAAAAGCCUGAGAGCCCUGAAUGGAGAUGAAGCCUACCUUCACUGUGUGUGAUUACUUCCAUUGGGUGGCCUGUCUCUCCCACUGAACCCCUGGUAUUUUAUGUUAACCCAAAGAGUCCAAGUCACCCCAGAAAAUUUGAACUUUCUUAGUUCUUUGAACUUAUGUCUCUAUAUUUUUUCAGAAUGAGCUAUCCCUAAUUGCUAAGUAUCUGAAAAGCAAAAUAAAGGCCAAAAUACC